rnacentral:rRNA from 1 species
UGGGGAAUCUUGGACAAUGGGCGCAAGCCUGAUCCAGCCAUGCCGCGUGGAUGAUGAAGGCCUUAGGGUUGUAAAAUACUUCGCGAGAGUGACGGUACCGUUAAAGGAAGCCACGGCUAACUCUGUGCCAGCAGCCGCGGUAAUACAGAGGUGGCAAGCGUUGUUCGGAAUUACUGGGCGUAAAGGGCGCGUAGGCGGCCCUCUAAGUCAGACGUGAAAUCCCCGGCUUAACCUGGGAACUGCGUCUGAUACUGGAGGGCUUGAGUAUGGGAGAGGGAUGUAGAAUUCCAGGUGUAGCGGUGAAAUGCGUAGAUAUCUGGAGGAAUACCGGUGGCGAAGGCGGCAUCCUGGACCAUUACUGACGCUGAGGCGCGAAAGCUAGGGGAGCAAACGGGAUUAGAUACCCAUGUAGUCCCUGAGCGGGCUGGCAAGGCGCAUA